rnacentral:rRNA from 1 species
GUUGUUAUAUAAAUUAUUUUUUUUUUUGUGUUUUAUAUUUGUAUUAAAAUUAAUUUAUUGUUUUUGUAUAUGUUGAUUGAUUAAAUUUUUUUAAUUAUAGUUUAUUUUUACUGUAAAGGUUAUAUUAUUAAUUUAUAGAAGUAAAUUUUUGUUGUACCUUGUGUAUCAGGGUUUAUUAAAUUAUAUUAUAAAUUUUUUGUUUCCCGAUUUUGAAGGAUCUAAUUAAUUAUUUUAGUUACUGUUUUAUAAUUAUUAAUAAUUAUUAUUUGGUAGUGAAAUGUUAUUCGGCUUCAAUGGUUUCUGGUUUUUCAGGAAAUGAAUUUAAUUCAUAUAUUAUUAUUAUAUUUCUAUCUUUUUAGUUUUUAUUUUAUUAAUAUCAAUGUUGUGGGGGAUAAGCUCUUUAACAUAUUUUUAUAAUUUUUUUAUUUAUUAAAUAAUGUUGGUUUUAUAAUAACUAUCAUUUUAAGUUUGUUAAAAUUUUAUUUUUUAGGAUUUUGAUUUAUUAAUAUUUAAUUAUUUUACUGAAAUUUUUUAUUAAAUUAUUGUUUAUUUGUAAUUAUGAUGGAAUUAGUAAUUUUCUAUUUAUACUGUUAAAUCUUUGUUAAGAUUUUAAAAGGAACUAGGCAAAUAAAAGUGUUCUCGCAUGUUUAUCAAAAACAUCUUUUCUUGAAUUUUAAUAUGAGAUAUGACCUGCCCACUGAUAGAUUUGAAGGGCCGCGGUAUUUUGACCGUGCAAAGGUAGCAUAAUCAUUAGUCUUUUAAUUGUGGACUGGAAUGAAUGGUUGGACGAGGAAUAUACUGUUUCUUAUUAUUUUAUUGAAUUUAAUUUUUAAGUUAAAAAGCUUAAAUUUAUUUAUAGGACGAGAAGACCCUAUAGAGUUUAUAUACAUUAUUCUAUUUAUUUUGUUUGUUUAUUUUAUUUAGUAUUUAAUAUAUUUUAUUGGGGUGAUUGGAAGAAUUAAUUAACUCUUUUUGUUUAAAUAUACAUUGAUUUAUGAAUACUUGAUCCAAUUUUGUUGAUUAUAAGAUUAAAUUACCUUAGGGAUAACAGCGUAAUCUUUUUUGAGAGUUCUUAUUGAUAAAUGGGUUUGCGACCUCGAUGUUGGAUUAAGGUUUAAUUUGGGUGUAGAAUUUCAAUUUGUUUAGGUCUGUUCGACCUUUAAAAUCUUACAUGAUCUGAGUUCAGACCGGCGAGAGCCAGGUCGGUUUCUAUCUAUAAUAAAUUUUAUAUCUUAGUACGAGAGGACCAGGUAUCUGGAAUAAUUUUUUAUUUAUGAUUUUUAUUAAUUGUU